rnacentral:tRNA from 1 species
GGUGGCUCAGUGGUAGAGCACUUGCCUUGCAUGCAUGAGGCCCUGAGUUUGAAUCCUCAGCACCA